AGUGUCCUACGAGGCGCAGCAGUGGGGAAUAUUGCACAAUGGGGGAAACCCUGAUGCAGCGACGCCGCGUGAGUGAGGAAGUAUUUCGGUAUGUAAAGCUCUAUCAGCGGGGAAGAAAAUGACGGUACCUGACCAAGAAGCCCCGGCUAACUACGUGCCAGCAGCCGCGGUAAUACGUAGGGGGCAAGCGUUAUCCGGAUUUACUGGGUGUAAAGGGAGCGUAGGCGGCUGUGUAAGCCAGAAGUGAAAGCCCGAGGCUCAACCACGGGACUGCUUUUGGGACUACAUGGCUUGAUUGCAGGAGG
rnacentral:rRNA from 1 species